rnacentral:rRNA from 1 species
GAUGAACGCUGGCGGCGUGCCUAAUACAUGCAAGUCGAGCGAACAGACGAGGAGCUUGCUCCUCUGACGUUAGCUGCGGACGGGUGAGUAACACGUGGAUAACCUACCUAUAAGACUGGGAUAACUUCGGGAAACCGGAGCUAAUACCGGAUAAUAUAUUGAACCGCAUGGUUCAAUAGUGAAAGACGGUUUUGCUGUCACUUAUAGAUGGAUCCGCGCCGCAUUAGCUAGUUGGUAAGGUAACGGCUUACCAAGGCAACGAUGCGUAGCCGACCUGAGAGGGUGAUCGGCCACACUGGAACUGAGACACGGUCCAGACUCCUACGGGAGGCAGCAGUAGGGAAUCUUCCGCAAUGGGCGAAAGCCUGACGGAGCAACGCCGCGUGAGUGAUGAAGGUCUUCGGAUCGUAAAACUCUGUUAUUAGGGAAGAACAAAUGUGUAAGUAACUAUGCACGUCUUGACGGUACCUAAUCAGAAAGCCACGACUAACUACGUG